rnacentral:rRNA from 1 species
CUACGGGAGGCAGCAGUGGGGAAUUUUGCGCAAUGGGCGAAAGCCUGACGCAGCAACGCCGCGUGGGUGAUGAAGGUCUUCGGAUCGUAAAACCCUGUCGUCAGGGACGAAGGUUGCAUGCCUAACAGGUGUGCAGCUUGACGGUACCUGGAGAGGAAGCCCCGGCUAACUCUGUGCCAGCAGCCGCGGUAAUACAGAGGGGGCAAGCGUUAUUCGGAAUUAUUGGGCGUAAAGGGCGCGUAGGCGGUUCGUUAAGUCAGAUGUGUAAUCCCCGAGCUCAACUUGGGAACUGCAUCUGAGACUGGCGGGCUAGAGUACUGGAGAGGGUGGUGGAAUUCCACGUGUAGCGGUGAAAUGCGUAGAGAUGUGGAGGAACACCAGUGGCGAAGGCGGCCACCUGGACAGUAACUGACGCUGAGGCGCGAAAGUGUGGGUAGCAAACAGGAUUAGAAACCCCUGUAGUCC